rnacentral:rRNA from 1 species
UACGUAGGGUGCGAGCGUUGUCCGGAAUUAUUGGGCGUAAAGAGCUCGUAGGCGGUUUGUCACGUCUGCUGUGAAAUCCCGAGGCUCAACCUCGGGCCUGCAGUGGGUACGGGCAGACUGGAGUGCGGUAGGGGAGAAUGGAAUUCCUGGUGUAGCGGUGGAAUGCGCAGAUAUCUGGAGGAAUACCGGUGGCGAAGGCGGCAUCCUGGACCGACAUUGACGCUGAACGGCGAAAGCUAGGGGAGCAAACGGG